UUAAGCGACUAAGCGUACACGGUGGAUGCCCUGGCAGUCAGAGGCGAUGAAGGACGUGCUAAUCUGCGAUAAGCGUCGGUAAGGUGAUAUGAACCGUUAUAACCGGCGAUUUCCGAAUGGGGAAACCCAGUGUGAUUCGUCACACUAUCAUUAACUGAAUCCAUAGGUUAAUGAGGCGAACCGGGGGAACUGAAACAUCUAAGUACCCCGAGGAAAAGAAAUCAACCGAGAUUCCCCCAGUAGCGGCGAGCGAACGGGGAGCAGCCCAGAGCCUGAAUCAGUGUGUGUGUUAGUGGAAGCGUCUGGAAAGGCGCGCGAUACAGGGUGACAGCCCCGUACACAAAAAUGCACAUGCUGUGAGCUCGAUGAGUAGGGCGGGACACGUGGUAUCCUGUCUGAAUAUGGGGGGACCAUCCUCCAAGGCUAAAUACUCCUGACUGACCGAUAGUGAACCAGUACCGUGAGGGAAAGGCGAAAAGAACCCCGGCGAGGGGAGUGAAAAAGAACCUGAAACCGUGUACGUACAAGCAGUGGGAGCAUGCUUCGGCGUGUGACUGCGUACCUUUUGUAUAAUGGGUCAGCGACUUAUAUUCUGUAGCAAGGUUAACCGAAUAGGGGAGCCGAAGGGAAACCGAGUCUUAACUGGGCGUUAAGUUGCAGGGUAUAGACCCGAAACCCGGUGAUCUAGCCAUGGGCAGGUUGAAGGUUGGGUAACACUAACUGGAGGACCGAACCGACUAAUGUUGAAAAAUUAGCGGAUGACUUGUGGCUGGGGGUGAAAGGCCAAUCAAACCGGGAGAUAGCUGGUUCUCCCCGAAAGCUAUUUAGGUAGCGCCUCGUGAAUUCAUCUCCGGGGGUAGAGCACUGUUUCGGCAAGGGGGUCAUCCCGACUUACCAACCCGAUGCAAACUGCGAAUACCGGAGAAUGUUAUCACGGGAGACACACGGCGGGUGCUAACGUCCGUCGUGAAGAGGGAAACAACCCAGACCGCCAGCUAAGGUCCCAAAGUCAUGGUUAAGUGGGAAACGAUGUGGGAAGGCCCAGACAGCCAGGAUGUUGGCUUAGAAGCAGCCAUCAUUUAAAGAAAGCGUAAUAGCUCACUGGUCGAGUCGGCCUGCGCGGAAGAUGUAACGGGGCUAAACCAUGCACCGAAGCUGCGGCAGCGACGCUUAUGCGUUGUUGGGUAGGGGAGCGUUCUGUAAGCCUGUGAAGGUGUACUGUGAGGUAUGCUGGAGGUAUCAGAAGUGCGAAUGCUGACAUAAGUAACGAUAAAGCGGGUGAAAAGCCCGCUCGCCGGAAGACCAAGGGUUCCUGUCCAACGUUAAUCGGGGCAGGGUGAGUCGACCCCUAAGGCGAGGCCGAAAGGCGUAGUCGAUGGGAAACAGGUUAAUAUUCCUGUACUUGGUGUUACUGCGAAGGGGGGACGGAGAAGGCUAUGUUGGCCGGGCGACGGUUGUCCCGGUUUAAGCGUGUAGGCUGGUUUUCCAGGCAAAUCCGGAAAAUCAAGGCUGAGGCGUGAUGACGAGGCACUAUGGUGCUGAAGCAACAAAUGCCCUGCUUCCAGGAAAAGCCUCUAAGCAUCAGGUAACAUCAAAUCGUACCCCAAACCGACACAGGUGGUCAGGUAGAGAAUACCAAGGCGCUUGAGAGAACUCGGGUGAAGGAACUAGGCAAAAUGGUGCCGUAACUUCGGGAGAAGGCACGCUGAUAUGUAGGUGAAGUCCCUCGCGGAUGGAGCUGAAAUCAGUCGAAGAUACCAGCUGGCUGCAACUGUUUAUUAAAAACACAGCACUGUGCAAACACGAAAGUGGACGUAUACGGUGUGACGCCUGCCCGGUGCCGGAAGGUUAAUUGAUGGGGUUAGCGGUAACGCGAAGCUCUUGAUCGAAGCCCCGGUAAACGGCGGCCGUAACUAUAACGGUCCUAAGGUAGCGAAAUUCCUUGUCGGGU
rnacentral:rRNA from 1 species